UAUUAAAAAUUUUAUCUCUUCGUACUGUUAAAAAAUGGUGUGGUUCACAAAACAACAAGACAGUGAUAUUUGGCGUGCCACGUGUACCUUAUGUUGACAUAUAAUGAUCAUUUUUUAACAAUAGAAAUAGAUGUAAUCUUUAAUA
rfam:Gossypium hirsutum cultivar TM-1 chromosome 1, whole genome shotgun sequence